UACGUAGGGUGCGAGCGUUAAUCGGAUUUACUGGGCGUAAAGCGUGCGCAGGCGGCCCGUUAAGACAGGUGUGAAAUCCCUGGGCUCAACCUAGGAAUUGCGCUUGUGACUGGCGGGCUCGAGUACGGUAGAGGGGGGUGGAAUUCCUGGUGUAGCAGUGAAAUGCGUAGAGAUCAGCAGGAACGCCGAUGGCGAAGGCAGCCCCCUGGGCCUGUACUGACGCUCAUGCACGAAAGCGUGGGGAGCAAACAGG
rnacentral:rRNA from 1 species